AGGAGAGGCAUAUGUUUGCAUCGUGGAAGCCUCUAACCACCUUAAAAUUUAGCCCAGUUUUAGUUUUUUUUUUGGGUGUUGUGUGUAUAUUCAUGAAAAAGGCACUUGCUGAGGGUAACCUUCAAAUGACGACAAUGGUUAGCCAUGCCUGUAAAACAGACACUUGAUGCGGGUAACCUUUAAUUGUGGUCAGGGUUAGCCAUGCCAUUAAUUUAGUAAAGGAAAUGCUGACCAUUUAAUGGGAGGAUUCUGCAGGGGGAUACUUUAAAAAAAACCCAGCACUUUAUUCACGCGUUGCGAUGUAGAAGCCAUCAACCUCUGUCGGCAGAACAAUUUACGUUCCUAAAGAAAUGAAGAAUUGAUCUACCAAAAGUUUGUGGGGCUUCCUUCACACAGCAACAUGCGGCAAAACCUGAAACGAAAAGAAAAAUAUAUAUUAGUAAAAAUAGAGAUAAUAUUUGUUUGGACGUAAUAGAAGAAUGCCGCAGCAGCUCGGUUAUGAAAAUGCCUUUUGUUCUUUGUUUACAUUCUUAUAUUCGUCAUUUGACAGCAGACUAUCGCGUUGCCAACGAAAUGUUUUGAUAGCAAUGUAUUAUCAGCACAAUGGCGGAAUAUGCAUUCUUGGGGGAGACCAAAUAAUUGAAGGCUUUCUGAAUAAAGAGAAAAACCUAUGCAUAAGGGUACCGCCCAGUGAAAGGGACAAAUAAUAGGGAUAAAACAAGGAUAACAAUAAGGGAUAAAUCAAUAUGUCGGUUAAUGGAAAGCUGCCAUUUUUCUCUCUAAGCUUAUAAAUAAGUGUUAAAACCAGAGAACGGUGAUUUUAAGUAUUGGUGCUGAGUGAGAAACUUUAACUUCUCUGUGGGAAUAAAGUACAAAGUUUUUGUAAAAAUUAUAAAGUGAAUUUAAAUAUAAUAAAAGCGAUAUCUGCCGAAUAUUGAUUUGAUUAAGAUAAAGGUGACUAUCGCAGGGUGUUGUUAUGAAUAAAGUGGUCAAAGUCCAAUUUUAUCCUCAGACGCAGUAUUGAACCAGCAAUCAAGAAAGGCCACCAGAAACCUUGUUUGUUGGACGGAAGUGUCGUAGAGGAAAUAUAGCCACUAAAAUAGAUUACCCAAGUAGAAAGCCGGAAAAAAGGUAGGACAUUAGUAUUGCCAAUUACCUUAGGGCGCAGAGCCCACUGCCAUCUAGUGGAAACACCCGAGCUGACAAAAACUUUGCAAAAGCUCAGUACCAGAACUUUACCAGAGAAUAUAUAACUUUGUGCCCGAGCGAAUUUACGUAUAACAGUUAUAAUUCGCCGAAGUAUCUCUGCCACAGUCAGUCCCGUAUAAAAAGACUGGCAUUUGGUUAUGUGACGACUGAUUGAGAUCAAAAUAAUCAUAACCAGUUAAAAUCGUCAAAGAAAAUAAUUGUCAUAAAGUAUCUUUAGUUUCUAAGUGUAUAACGUAUUGUAUGAUUUAUUUAUAUUUUGCUUUGCAUGUUAUUUUUGAUUUUUUUUUAUCCAAAUUGACUAUUUUUAUUUGAGUGUAAAUGAUAACGUUUCCUUUUUCCUUUUCGGAUAUACUUUUUUGGAAAUACCUAAAAUUCCCUCGUCUAGUUUACGUCGUAUUUGUUUCACAUUAGGAACCACAAUUGUGCAUCUGGUGAUAUAGUUGAUCCUAAGCCAUAGGUUGUCUAUAAUAGAGCUCUAUUAGGAAAUCUAGGUUAUUGGAGUUUAUUGAGCAUAGUCCACUGAUAAGGACGUAGUUUUGCAAAAUAUUGUGGGUUCUAAUAGACCAGUCGGUCAAUCGUUCUGUUUAUCAAGAUUUGUUUUAUUUGGUUCAAAGAACCUUUCGACAUUCCUCUGGUCAUAGAGAAGAUACUAUAAAAAAGAAGAACAUCAAACUAUAUUUUAUUAAUUUUUUUUUGUUCUAUAUUUUAUUGUGUCUCAGUUUUUUUUUUAUUAAUUUUAAACAGUAAUAAUUAAGGAAAAAGGAUACCUAAUCAUAAAAUUAAAUCAACAUUUUUUUUAAUAAAUAUAAUGUGAAUCUGUAGACAAUUAGAAAUAUGAUAGUUUAACUGAAAAGGAAAGGAGGGAAAGGAUGAUGAGGUGAGUGGUGGUACUUCCAGCGGUAAUAGGGGUCAUCAAGGCAAGAUCGGUAGGAUGACUAUGGUCGGGUGGGCGGAUAAGUUUGACUCUGAACCCGGAGUCCGGAGUUUUGAUGGGAGAAGUUAAAGUAAA